rnacentral:lncRNA from 1 species
CCUUGUCCCAUCGCGCACUAGCAACUCCUGUGGCAGGCUGGGCGCAGUGCACACUGACACAGUGUUUUGGAGGACGCACAGCUCUCAACCUUCUCCUCUCCCGAGUCUGUACGGGAGUUGCAGCGAUGAGACAAAACUGUACCAGUUGGGAGAAAACGGGGUAAAAGAAAAAGAGGUACGUGUCGUCGGGCUGUCUUCCUUCAGGAAUCUGUGGAGAAAAUUGCUGCCCAACAUUUCAAGCACUAAGCCCAGGACAGACCUGUGCUGGCAGUGCCAGAGGAACAACUAUCAGGUCGUCAAAUCUGCCAAUCUGCCAGAAGCUGUUAAGUCAGCCGAACUGAAGAAGCAAGAGCAGCAUCUCCUGCUUGUUCAGAGUGAGCGGUCUGUAUACUAGAAGAUGGUUGCUGACUGCAAGACCUGUCAAGACCUGUAGUUGUCUCUGGGGGCCCCAACUGAACCAGCAAGCAAAGACAUCAGGAUGCAUUACAGCUUUGGAUUUGCUCAACAAGUGCACUAUCCUUCUGACCCUAUGCAGCCAGAUCCCAAUCGAUUUUUUUAACUCCUCACAAGUGUGGCUUGUUUGGUGUCUGCUGUGAAGGCAUGCUGUACCUCAACAAGUCAACUACUUGAUUGAUGAAGACAUGUCAUCCAGCAAAGGCAGCAGCGCAGUCAUCAACUACAUGCACCAUUUCUUCACCAAAUGUGGAGUUCGGGAAACACGUGUGGACCUGAAUUGGGAUAACUGCAGUGGCCAAAACAAGAACAAGUUUGUGCUCUGGUAUUGUGCCUGGCAGACCAUGCACAAGCUCCACCACAGUCUGAAUCUUCACUUCCUGAUCACAGGCCACACCAAGUUUGCCCCCGACUGGUGCUUCGGCCUCAUCAAGCAACGCUUCAGAAAGACCAAAGUGAACACUGUCUGAGAUUGCUGUUGUUGUGAAUGACAGCACUGUGACAGGUCAACAUCUCACAGCUGGUUGGACUGGAGGAUUGUACGGUGUUGGUGGAAAGCUAUGGCUGGCAACAACUCCGUACUUCAGGCCGCUGCCACAGAUCAAGCAGUACCAGCACUUCAGGGGAAUGUCAUUUUCAUUGCAUUCUUCAAAGCUCUGGAGCCUGGUGUUGUCACCAAGGAGCAUUCAGACUCAGUAGGGACCAGGUUUCAGCUGCUGCGCAAUUCUGACAGGGAGUUUUGCAACGAAGAGGCUAUGGACAUCACAUGCCCUGCACCAAAGGCAAGGGCAGGACAGAAACAAGCUCUCCAAAUAUUUACAUUUUAGUCAUUUAGCAGACGCUCUUAUCCAGAGCGACUUACAGUAGUGAAUGCAUACAUUUCAUACAUUUUUUGUUUGUUGUACUGGCCCC